GUAACUCAAAUUUGUAUGUAGUUGAAAACGUUUGCCUACGUUUGCCGCUAGGGGCGCUGUUCGAACUGCCUACAAAUAUGAGUUA
rnacentral:pre_miRNA from 1 species